GCUAGGGUAGCAAAGAGGUUACUGCGGUAGAUUUAGGAUUUAUUAUUAAGGGUUCGAGUCCCUUCCUUAGUU
rnacentral:tRNA from 1 species